UAGAAAAAGGAACUAUGGGCCAAGGAACGCUGGCAGCCUCUAGAUGCUGGAAAAAGCAAAGAAACAGAUUCUCUGCUAGAGCCUCCAGGAGGAACACAGUCCUGCCAAGACCUUGAUUUUGGCCCAGCAAAAUCCAGUUUGGAUUCUUCUGAACUCCAGAUCUGAGUGAUAAAUUUUGGUGGUUUUAUGACACUAAGAGUGUGAUAAUUUGUUACAGCAGCAGUAAGAAACUCAUACACCAAGUCACCGACACGAUUUCCUUCUCCGACGUUAUUUCCUUCUAGUACUUCUCUCUAGCUGAAAUUCUGUUGUUCGGUUGACUUGCUUGUUAGUUGUUUCUAGACCACUCCACUCCUUCAGGAAUAGAAACUUUUCGAGAUGAGGAGGGGUAGCCCUCAGAUUGAGCCCAUUGCCCGUCCCACACUGAGUCAAUGAACUACUAAUAAUGUUGUUGAAAUUGCUCAACAUUACUCAGUAACACCAGAGAGCAGGAAUGUGGUAUUCAUUCUUAGGAAUCUAUUGUGUUCAGGGACAUGAGAAGCAAUGGGAUGGAGAGAAGUAUAAACAGCUCCUGAUACCCAGGAGAUCACAAUCCAGUCACAUGGAAUAACAAGCUAAGUGAAAGGAAUAACUAGGAAUGAUCAACAGACAAAUCGACCUAUGGAAAAGAAUCAAGAACCCAGAAAUAAACCCAAGCAUAUAUGGCCAACUAAUAUUUGGCAGAGGAGCCAAGAACACUGAAUGGGAAAAAGACAGUCUCUUCAACUGAUGCUUGGAAAAUUGGAUAUUCACAUGAAAAAGAAUGAAACUUAACCCUUAUCUUACACCACUCAUGAAAAUUAACUCAAAUGGAUUAAAGACAUAAAUAUAAGACCUGAAACCAUGAGACUCCUGGAAGAAAACAGGAAAAAAAACUCCUUGACAUGGAAAUUGGUAGUGAUUUUUCUUGGAAACCUAAACCACGAGCAACAAAAUAAAAAAUAAAUACAGAUGGCUACAUCAAACUAAAAAGCUUCUGCACAGCAAAAGAAGCCAUCAACAAAUUGAAAAAAAAUCUAUGAAAUAGGAAAAAUAUUUGCCAAUAUUCAAAAUAU
ensembl:lncRNA